CGGUAACAGGCCCUUCGGGGUGCUGACGAGUGGCGGACGGGUGAGUAAUACUUAGGAAUCUACCUAGUAGUGGGGGAUAACCCGGGGAAACUCGGGCUAAUACCGCAUACGCCCUACGGGGGAAAGCGGGGGACUUUCGGGCCUCGCGCUAUUAGAUGAGCCUAAGUCCGAUUAGCUAGUUGGUAGGGUAAUGGCCUACCAAGGCGACGAUCGGUAGCUGGUCUGAGAGGACGACCAGCCACACUGGGACUGAGACACGGCCCAGACUCCUACGGGAGGCAGCAGUGGGGAAUAUUGGACAAUGGGCGCAAGCCUGAUCCAGCGAUGCCGCGUGUGUGAAGAAGGCCUGCGGGUUGUAAAGCACUUUCAGUAGGGAAGAAAAGCCGAGUGCUAAUAUCACUCGGUCAUGACGUUACUUACAGAAGAAGCACCAGCUAACUCCGUGCCAGCAGCCGCGGUAAUACGGAGGGUGCGAGCGUUAAUCGGAAUUACUGGGCGCAAAGGGCGCGUAGGCGGUUUGGUAAGUCGGGUGUAAAAGCCCCGGGCUCAACCUGGGAAUUGCAUUCGAUACUGCCUGGCUAGAGUAUGGUAGAGGGAAGCGGAAUUCCGGGUGUAGCGGUGAAAUGCGUAGAUAUCCGGAGGAACACCAGUGGCGAAGGCGGCUUCCUGGACCAAUACUGACGCUGAGGCGCGGAAGCGUGGGGAUCAAACAGGAUUAGAUACCCUGGUAGUCCACGCCCUAAACGAUGAGAACUAGCCGUUGGAGGAGCUUUGUCCUUUAGUGGCGCAGCUAACGCGAUAAGUUCUCCGCCUGGGGAGUACGGCCGCAAGGUUAAAACUCAAAGGAAUUGACGGGGGCCCGCACAAGCGGUGGAGCAUGUGGUUUAAUUCGAUGCAACGCGAAGAACCUUACCUGCCCAUGACA
rnacentral:rRNA from 1 species